rnacentral:rRNA from 1 species
UACGUAGGGGGCGAGCGUUGUCCGGUAUCAUUUGGCGUAAGGCGCGUGUAGGCGGCCCGGUAAGUCCGCUGUGAAAGUCCAGGGCUCAACCCUGGGAUGCCGGUGGAUACUGUCGGGCUCGAGUCCGGAAGAGGCGAGUGGAAUUCCUGGUGUAGCGGUGAAAUGCGCAGAUAUCAGGAGGAACACCAAUGGCGAAGGCAGCUCGCUGGGACGUGACUGACGCUGAGACGCGAAAGCGUGGGGAGCAAACAGG